GCGGUGUAGCUCAGUUGGCUAGAGCACUCGGUUCAUACCCGAGUUGUCGUAGGUUCAAAUCCUAUCGCCG
rnacentral:tRNA from 1 species